GAUGAACGCUGGCGGCGCGCCUAACACAUGCAAGUCGAACGGUUAAAGCACCUUUUAGGUGUGUAUAAAGUGGCGGACGGCUGAGUAACACGUGGGCAACCUGCCCUCCUCUUGGGGAUAGCCUCGGGAAACCGAGGAUAAUACCCGAUACUUCAAUGUGGCCGCAUGACGACAUUGAGAAAGCUUUUGCGGAGAAGGAUGGGCCCGCGGCCUGUUAGCUUGUUGGUGGGGUAGAGGCCUACCAAGGCAAUGAUGGGUAGCUGGGUUGAGAGACCGACCAGCCAGAUUGGGACUGAGACACGGCCCAGACUCCUACGGGAGGCAGCAGUGGGGAAUCUUGCACAAUGGGCGAAAGCCUGAUGCAGCGACGCCGCGUGCGGGACGAAGGCCUUCGGGUUGUAAACCGCUUUCAGCAGGGACGAGGCGAUAAGUGACGGUACCUGCAGAAGAAGCCCCGGCUAACUACGUG
rnacentral:rRNA from 1 species